AAUCCAUGAUGAAGACACUUUCGUAAGAGAUCAUUAUACUUUUCUCAUGCUUCAUACAAUGAGUCCAUGUCUUGUUGGAAGAAAUUAGUAAUAUCACUUGUCAUAUU